rnacentral:lncRNA from 1 species
GUUCUUUGUGUUUUUUUAUUAGAAUUAUAUGAAAUAAUUAUUCAGAUUUAAUAGUUGACAUCGUUUGAUGUUAUUGGUUUCGGCUAGAGUAUUGGAAAUGAAUAAAUCGAUUCUUGGUUAAUUAUAGUUGUAAAUUUCUAAUUUCAAAUGUGUUGCAGGUUUGCCAACAAAACAGGGGUUUCCGUUUUUCUUUUUGUUUCAAUUUUCAUUCCCAUUUUGAUGUUCAACGAUUUGGACUUCUGUAUCGAAGAUUUUGAAUGGAUUUCUUGAUCGAUUUUUUGGAUUGAAUUUUCAGAUUGUGAUGAUUCCUCGGGUUGAUGUUCCAAAUUGAAUUUUCGGGUUUUAUGAACACGGUGGGAUUAUUAGGGAUUUGGAUCUCAUCGAAAAAGAUUUUUUCGGAAUUAACGUGGCAAUAAGGAUGGCACCGGCACGAACCGAGGUACCACUAAAACAACAACCCCACAAGUCAAGGAUGAUAACAAAGGGAAAAGUACCGCUUCCACUGAACCAUCCUUAAGUGAUUUUCUUCAACCAAAGGAUUCACCAACAAAUCAAAAGAAAAACAACCCACCUGCAACAUCCCCGCACACAUACAACAUAAUCAAAGAAAUAGAGAAGACCCAUGGAUGUAUUGGUACAGUGUCCACACCACUAAACACCCCAGCUUACCAGCAAACUAACGAACAAGACGAUUGGGAGGACGAUGAACGGUGGAUAACCAGUAUGGACGAAAUCAAGGAGACAUUCAAACCUUUUUUAAAUUGAACAUACUAUCUCGUUCGACGUGGUUACCAUGGUCCCCCGAUUUAAAAUAAUUUGUCAAUGACUUUCAGACGACCUUUUCUUCUUACCUUUAAGAAUUUUAGUACAUUUUUGGGCGAUUUGGCCAGAAAUCAAAUGAUCACUUCUUUA